CCUACGGGGGGCUGCAGUGGGGAAUAUUGGACAAUGGGGGGAACCCUGAUCCAGCCAUGCCGCGUGUGUGAAGAAGGCCCUCGGGUUGUAAAGCACUUUCAGUGAGGAAGAACGCCUGGUGGUUAAUACCCAUCAGGAAAGACAUCACUCACAGAAGAAGUACCGGCUAACUCCGUGCCAGCAGCCGCGGUAAUACGGAGGGUGCGAGCGUUAAUCGGAAUUACUGGGCGUAAAGCGCGCGUAGGUGGCUUGAUAAGCCGGUUGUGAAAGCCCCGGGCUCAACCUGGGAACGGCAUCCGGAACUGUCAAGCUAGAGUGCAGGAGAGGAAGGUAGAAUUCCCGGUGUAGCGGUGAAAUGCGUAGAGAUCGGGAGGAAUACCAGUGGCGAAGGCGGCCUUCUGGACUGACACUGACACUGAGGUGCGAAAGCGUGGGUAGCAAACAGGAUUAGAUACCCUAGUAGUC
rnacentral:rRNA from 1 species